GAUGAACGCUGGCGGCGUGCCUAAUACAUGCAAGUCGAGCGAAGCGGGGACGGGUGAGUAACACGUGGAUAACCUCCUAUAAGACUGGGAUAACUUCGGGAAACCGGAGCUAUACCGGAUACUUCUAGAUGGAUCCUGGCUUCAUUAGCUAGUUGGUACGGUAACGGCUUACCAAGGCUACGAUGCAUAGCCGACCUGAGAGGGUGAUCGGCCAAACUGGAACUGAGACACGGUCCAGACUCCUACGGGAGGCAGCAGUAGGGAAUCUUCCGCAAUGGGCGAAAGCCUGACGGAGCAACGCCGCGUGAGUGAAGAAGGUCUUCGGAUCGUAAAACUCUGUUAUUAGGGAAGCGGUACCUGAUCAGAAAGCAACGGCUAACUACGUGCCAGCAGCCGCGGUAAUAC
rnacentral:rRNA from 1 species